AAGGAUGCUGACAGGGUCUGCAUUCAUUUUUUCAUUUUCCUUUUCUGCAGUGAAUAAAUGAGGGCGGGAGCCGACUGGAGCCCCCGACGAGGCUCAGCACCGAAUUGCCUGGAAGAGCAGCGGGGAAAACCAUUCCCUAGGCAGGAGACCUUCGAAAUGGGAAUCACAGCACCAGGCACGUCAUGGCUCCUACUUCAUAUGGCCAUAUAGCACAAGCCCAAGGUGAUGCAUCCUUCCCUUAACAUCUCUAGAUGCACAGAAACUACAACCUGGACAUACCUUGAUGAGAGUUCCUGAUGUUUUCUUAGUCUAUGUCACAAAUAAAAAGGCUGUGGAUGAUUCUGAGCUGUCCCUUCAGGCCUGGGUAAAYCAUGAAAGCAACGGAAUGUCUUAUUUUUGCUAAAGAAACAGCAGCUGUAAGUAAAAAGGAGGGUAACAAUCAAGAAAAAACAAAUAAAGUCAGUGACAAGAAAUACUGCUCGUUUUGACUGAUCUGUUGCAAGCUGGAAUUUUCCUCAUUGUAAUGGACCUUUUGUUCUAAUUUACAGAGUCUUUUUCUUGUUAAUUAACUUUUCUAGUUCAAUAUAUUUUCUGUUAAAGAUCACAUCCUUCAACUAAGAAACCGUUCAGCAUCUACAGCAUAGAAUUUAGCUUUUUUUCAUUAGAAACAAAUUAAUACAGAAACCAUGAGCAAAAAACAUGGACAAUCUCACACCCCUUGGCACUGUCCUUACAACAACAGUUAAAGGAUCACACAAGCAAUUCCUCCCUUGAUUUGUCUGAACAAUUAUUUAGGGGCAGCCUCAUCCACUCCUUGGAGAACAUAAAAACACUGAAAGAAAAUGCCAUUCAGAAAAGACAGGUGGCCUUGUUAACAGUGAGAGAGACAGGCAAAAUGAGCCUGUUGCAUGCAGAUAAAAAUCUUUAUUUCAAUAUCAGAAAUGCUACACGCAUUCAGAUUGAAUUAUGCAGCUUGUUACAUCUCAAGAUGGUUGUAUGGUCAGGUCACGAGGUCCGUGAGGCCUUCCUUGCCUUACACGAAACAUGCCUGAAAGAGGAAUGACAGAUYAGGAAUAUUAUAUAAAUAUUAAAGCACUUCUUACACUUGCAUCCCAGCUGAAUGAAC